AUAGUGAGAGUUACCUGACGCUGAAGAGAGUCACUGCAGAAUCUGCAAUCAUGGUUGAACAUGCCUGUUAGUGAAAAGUGAACUUCCAUUCUUUGUGUUUUGCUUUUGAACUGAGUUACUAAAGUUGGAUGGAAUGCAAGCUAUUUGGCUAAUUACAACUGAACAAGUAGCUUGUGGAAGAGACUGCAGGAACCCUGAUGGUCUGUUCCUCUCCCCUCAGCAGUGCAAAGAUGUGGUAGAAGUGCCUUGAAGCAAGUACAUAUUCUAUCAGACACAUUGUGCCCUGGGCUGGUGUAUGCUGAAACAGUGGAGCUCCAGACCUCACUAAAUGCUGGGAUAGUCCUCUUUUGCAAUGGCAGCUUAAAGUGUCCUGGAAGAAGAUUUAGGCCUGUGUAUUUUCCAAUCUAGAAACAUUCUUUUUAAUGAUCUUUAAGUUGAUGUGCGGAUUGGUUGUACCAUUAAAAUAGGCAACGGUCAAGCCCAAGUCGAAUUUCUGGAGUGGGCCUUGAAGUCACCGCUUUCUGUCUCGAUGUUGAGAAUGGCACCACUGAGGACUCAACUGACCACAUUUGGUUUCCCUGACAUAGCAGCCUGCAUGCACAGAGGUUCAGACAGACCCAUCUUCAAGCACAAUCCAUCAGAUGGGCUUGUGGACAACGGACAAGGGCUAGAAGCAGCACAUGUUUCUGUUCUCUCUCUGUCUUUCUAACUGCCUAUCUCAUUCUCUGUCUCUUUAUCUCUGUUUUUGUCUCGCUAGUUCUGUCUCCUUCUCUCUCAUAACCCUCGCAUACUUGCUCAAUUCCCAGCACAGCAGGCAAAAAGACAUUUCCACCUUGCCACAUCAGUUCUUCUCUUGGUUCCUCUCUCCGCAAAAAGAGUAAAACAUUAAUUCUUGACUUAAGUAAAUAGGCUUUUGUAUGUGGCACACUGAGAGUCUGCUCCAGAAUAUACAACAUUGGCUCACUUUGAAGACUCUGGGGGUGGGGUUUCAAAGCAUAAAUUUUCUUUGGAUUUCCCUUUAGAUUUGGCUCUAUUGUCUUUAAUUAUCUGAGUACCCUGAGGUAUCCAGCAUUUAUUUGAAAACUAAAAUUAUGUAUUUUUAUUUGAUAUGAUAUAUCAUUAUAGAAAAUUACAAUAAUAGAAAGUUUGCUGUGUCGAUCCCACUUGUCUUAUGUUCAGUUGUGUCUGUGCAACCUAUUAUGCUGAAAAAAUUCUCUUUGUGUGUUCCUUCAGUUGCAAUUUUCAUCUCCUUUACUUCCAUAGUCUAGUAGAAACUUGUUCUUAAGACAAGAAUUGUUCAUCUAUUUUCCGAUGCAACACCGUUUUUACCAUGGAGAUCAUUUUAACUGGCUGCGUCACUGUCUGAUAUGGGGUGGGGGGGGGGGGGGGAUGCUGUGUGCUGCUGCAAAGGAUAAGCUGUAGAGAGUUGUAAACUUCGUCAGCUCCAUCAUGGUCACCAGCCUCCAGAGUAUUCAGGACAUCAUCAAGGAGCAAAUCCUCAAAAAGGCAACAUCCAUCGUUAAGGACCCCCAUCACCCAGGUCAUACCUUUUUCUCAUUGCUACCAUCAGGAAGGAGGUACAGAAGCCUGAAGGCACACAGUCAAUGAUUCAGGAACAGCUUCUUCCUCUCUGCCAUCCGAUUUCUGAAUGGAUGUUGAACCCAUGAACACUAUUCACAACUUUUUAUCUUUAUUUCUGCACUACUUAUUUAAUCUAACUAUUAUAUAUAUAGUAAUUUACUUUUUCUCUAUUAUUAUGUAUUGCAUUGUACUGGUGCUGCAAUGAGAACAAAAAAUUUUGCGACGUAUGCCAGUGAUAUUAAACCCGAUUUUGAUUUUACACAACAGAGUUAUCUAACUAAUUUUAUUUGACUCGCUUUCUUUCAGGAGGUCCCACCCAGCAGGCCCAUUUUAUGUCAGUAGAUCAGAUCGCUGCUCCCAUUACCCCUGUGCUUUAGAGUUGAUGUGAACCAGUGAGGCAGUGGGAUUGAAUUUAGGCAUUCAGACAACAUAGGUAGGUAGUCUGAUAGCCUAAUAAUAGCAAGUAAGGAAGAUAGCAGUAGCCAUAUACCUUUUAGAUCAUGACCUCAUUAGCUAAUGUUGUAAACUCCUAGGAAAACCUGCACUGGGAGUUGGUGCUUUAGUUCAGAGAUGUUUCCUGCAUGUCAAUGAAAUGGCCAUUUUUAGUGGAUGCCUGGGGGAUGAUUGAAAUAUUAUAGAGUGGAGGAUUAAAAAAACUGGGUAUCCUGUUUCAUUAACUGCUGACAAUAAUAAUAGGAAGUGGGAAGGCUGUGAGGUGGGCAAAUCCAGUGGCCUUAACAUUGCUGAUUCUCACAGUAUCAGUAUCCUGGAAUCAGCAGUAAGCAAAAUACUCCAAUGGCAGGUCAGAGGCAGCAUAUCUUACAGCUAAUGGCUCAUCUCUGACUCUCCAUUAAGGUCAGGGUCCAUCCUUCAAAAAAUUCCAAUCUUAAUCAUGUUCUUCAUCAUAGCUUACCCAGCUAUGGUCAUACCCUGAGAUGUACUUUCCACCAGUGACAGUAAGUACUAGCCUCCCCUAACGCCUAAUCUGCAGAUGACCUGCACCACCUCUUUCACUGCCACUAAUUGAACACUGAAUUUCAUCAGAAUCAUUGAUACAGGGUGCUACGUAUAAUAACACUGCCGGCCUGCGUCUUGAUCAAGACACGUUGGUUAAGGAAAAUCUAUCCUUCUUCCCAUUUAGGGAAUUUGGAUCCAUCCCAUAUAGUUGUCAACAAUGGACACACUUAAAUUCCAUGUGACUUUGAACACCUCCAUUAAAUCCCUUGACCCAUCCUCUGGGGGGUAAUUGUUUGACCCUAUUCCACCCAGGCUGUGUGCCCUCUACCCUUUAUAGGCCUCCAUCCAUCUCAGAACGUGCCUCAGAGUAGCAGGCUGCUGGAAAAAUAGCAGCUCUGGUCCUGUUGGUUGAUGACGUUGUUGAGAAAUGGGAUCUCUCAGUGCUCAGGCCUACUGCAGCAGGUGGCCUAGAGGAAAGUCCUGAAGACAAUCCCCGUGCGCUGUUGUAGAAGAGCUGCUGAGUGUUUAGUGAUUGAUCAAAGACACAAUCAAUGCAAUAUAGAUGGAGCCUAACUAGAGUUUUAUAAAACUGGAAGAUAACAGCCUGACUUUUGAACUCAAUGCUUCGACCUAAUAAAGUCAAGCAUGCCAUGUUUUCUUAUCCACCCUAUCAAACUGUGUAGCCACUUUCAGGAUGCUAUGAAGUUAGACCCCAAGAUCCCACUGCUCAUCAACACUGUUACGGUAUUACCCAUAACAGUGUUCUGUCUCAUUAUAUUGGACCUGCCAAAGUGCAACACUUCACAUUUCGUCAGGUUAAACUCCAUCUGCUAUUACUCCACCCAUACCUGUAACAGAUCUAUAUCCCAUUGUAUUCCUUGCCAGUCAUUUACGCUAUGCACGACGUCAUCAAUCUUCAUAUUAUGUGCAAACUUACUAACCCAGUCAUCUGCAUUUUCAUCCAGAUCAUUUAUAUAGUGUAGGAGUUAGGAGUUUGAAGAGAUUUAUCAACUAAAACACUCAAAAACUUCUAUAGAUGUACUGUGGAAAGAAUCCUGUGAUAAGCUGCAUAACUGUCUGGUACAGAGGGGUGUGGGGCUACUGCACAGGACCGAAUAAAGCUACAGAAAGUCGUAAAAUUAGUCAAAUCCAUCUCGGGUACUAGUCUCCACAGUACCCAAGACAUCUUCAAAGAGUGGUGCCUCAGAAAGGAGACAUCCAUUAUCGAGUACCCCCAUCACCAAGGUGAAGGUAGUACAGAAGCCUGAAGGCACACACUCAGUGACUCAGGAACAGCGUCUUUCCCUCUGCCAUCCGAUUCCUAAACGGACAUUGAAAUUAUGAACUUUACCUCACUUAUUUUAAUAUACAUUAUUUCUGUAUUUGCACUGUUUUAACUAUUCAAUAUGCAUAUAUAUUCUCACAGUAAUUGAUUACUAUAUUCUUUCUAUAUUAUGUAUUAUCAAGUAUAUAAAUAUGUACUGUAAUUGAUUUUACACUUUUUUUUCUAUGUUAUCAUUAUUGCAAUGAACUACUGCUGCUAAGUUAACAAAUUCCAUGACACAUGCCAAUGAAAAUAAACCUGACUGA